rnacentral:rRNA from 1 species
AUUGAACGCUGGCGGCAUGCCUUACACAUGCAAGUCGAACGGCAGCACGGGAGCAAUCCUGGUGGCGAGUGGCGAACGGGUGAGUAAUAUAUCGGAACGUGCCCAGUCGUGGGGGAUAACGUAGCGAAAGCUACGCUAAUACCGCAUACGAUCUAUGGAUGAAAGCGGGGGAUCGCAAGACCUCGCGCGAUUGGAGCGGCCGAUAUCAGAUUAGGUAGUUGGUGAGGUAAAGGCUCGCCAAGCCGACGAUCUGUAGCUGGUCUGAGAGGACGACCAGCCACACUGGGACUGAGACACGGCCCAGACUCCUACGGGAGGCAGCAGUGGGGAAUUUUGGACAAUGGGCGCAAGCCUGAUCCAGCAAUGCCGCGUGCAGGAUGAAGGGCCUUCGGGUUGUAAACGUGCUUUGUACGGUACGAAACGGUGAGCUCUAAUACAGUUGUCUAAUGACGGUACCGUAAGAAUAAGAC